UAUUUCUAAAUUGGAAUCAAAAUCUAUUACAAUCUGUGCAGUAACAGGCUGUGAAGGGUCAACUGUGACGUUUCAUUUUUAUGUUUGUCUUCUAUAUUUGCUUCUUCUCUAUUUCUUUUGAACUUUAACUUCACAAACACAACUACACAAAAGCUUUCCUAAGCAGAAAUAGCUUUUUUCCCUGCCCAUGCACCUGGAAAAGUUGUGAACUCUCAAAACCAGCCUGUGAAGGCAGCUGGGAUGGAGGUUGCGACCUGCAAAGCCACAGGGGUGAAGCUGCCCAAAACCAUGGGACACCACCUCUUGUAUCAGAGUGACCUGGAUGGAGACAUGGACCCAAAGGAGAUCAUUUUGGAGCUUUAAGAUUUAAUUGCCCUGUUGGAUUUCAGACAUCUGUGGAGUCUGUAGCCUCUUUGUUUUUGCCAAUUUCUCCCAUUUGGAAUGGCUGUAUUUACCCAAUGCCUGUACCCCCAUUGUAUCUAAGAAAUAACUAACUUGCUUUUGAUUUUACAGGCUCAUAGGCAAAAGGGUCUUGCCUUGUGUUAGAUGAGACUUUGAACUGUGGACUUCUGAGUUAAUGCUGAAAUGAGUUAAGACUUUGGGAUACUGUU
rnacentral:lncRNA from 1 species